AUCGAUGUCCAUACCACCCUGAACACCACAUCUCAUCUGAUCUCAGAUGCUAAGCAGGGUCAGGCCUGGUUAGUACUUGGAUGGGAGACAUUACUCAAUCUCAUCAUGCCAGAACUUCAAGUGAAAUU
rnacentral:rRNA from 1 species